GAUGAACGCUAGCGGCAGGCUUAAUACAUGCAAGUCGAGGGGCAGCAUGGUUGUAGCAAUACAACUGAUGGCGACCGGCAAACGGGUGCGGAACACGUACGCAAUCUACCCAAAACUGAUGAAUAGCCCUCCGAAAGGAGGAUUAAUACAUCGUAACCUAUGGAGGUGGCAUCACUUUCUUAGUAUAGCUCCGGCGGUUUUGGUAUGAGCGUGCGGCUGAUAAGUAGUUGGUUGAGGUAACGGCUCACCAAGCCUGCGAUCAGUAACUGGUGUGAGAGCACGACCAGUCACACGGGCACUGAGACACGGGCCCGACUCCUACGGGAGGCAGCAGUAAGGAAUAUUGGUUCAAUGGACGCAAGUCUGAACCAGCCAUGCCGCGUGAAGGAUGAAGGUCCUCUGGAUUGUAAACUUCUUUUAUAGGGGACGAAAUCUUAUUUUUCUUAAGUAGUCUGACGGUACCCUAGGAAUAAGCACCGGCUAACUCCGUGCCAGCA
rnacentral:rRNA from 1 species